AGACCAGGGCAUCUACAGCUGCAGAGGCCAGGGUGCUCUGAGACAAGGAUGAGAUGAAUCCUCACAGGCUUAGGGAAAGCAGACACUGAGGAGGAGGCCAGACACAGACAUCAUGAGAGGACUGUGCAGCAGCUCACUGGAGCAUCUCAGGCACCCAAGGAACUCGUGGAAACAACUGUGCAAGGCCCAGGUGGAGGAAUAGAGAACCUGCAGUUAUUCUGGAAGUAAGCUAGCCAUCAGCAAUCAUUGGGUAUAUUAAUGUUUUAAUUUAAUUUAAUCUUAAGUUCUGGGAUACAAGUGCAGGACGUACAGGUUUGUUACACAGGUAAAUGUGUGAAGUAUAUUAAUGUUAAAUGCCCUGUAUCUACCCACAUUUUAUUUUAAAUGUCAGUGGUGUAAAUAUUUAUAUAUUAAAACAUAUGACACAAAUUCGUUUGAAGAAUUUUGGGUAAUAGUGUUUAUCAGGGAACUUAUAUUUCAUGCUUCCAUAAGAAAGAAAAAUUAACUUUUUAAUGUUAUUAGAAGAAUCAUGAAAAGAAGAUUUGUUAAAACAACAACAACAACAACGGUGAAUAUAUCAUAUUUAUCUAAGCUGAGCCAUCAAAAAUAAAUGUUUUUCCAUCUAUCAAAUAUAGGGCUAAUGCCUACAGUGGCUAUUACAUAUGUGCCCAUGGAGACUUGGACAAAAUCUUCCUUGCAGUAUAGAUUGUUUCUAUUAUAUUUCUUGUUGCUUCAAAAACAAAGAAAAAACAAACACCACUGUUCUCGGAGGGCAGGUGGCUUAAAAUGAAUUGUCAGCUGCUGGGAGCCAUGUGGGUCCUAUGGAAGCUUCUCCAACAGCCUCAGGGCAGCAGCAGCAGCACCCAGAGUAGCUCUUGUUCCUCUACGAAACCUCCUCAAAAAGGUACCAUGGCCAUGAAUAAAGCAUUCAAGACAGUCACCUUCCAGGAGGGUCCCACGAGGAGAAAUGAGGGGAAGAACACAAGAAAGGCUUUGUCUGACUACAGGGAACAAUUCAUUGGCAGAAAUUGCCCUGAGAUUGACUCCCCAUUGCCUUGGGUCCCAAGGUCCUGGGAGAGAAAAGGUCAGUUCAUUUUUUAUUAACUCUUAAAUGUCAGUGUCUUUAUAAUUAGUAAUGUAACAAAAUUACAUGGGUGUAAUACUUGGUGCCAUGGGAUCUUGGUUUUUCCCCCAGCUUGUGAGCUGGUUAUCACAGUUCCAUCAACCCGUGGGCUGUGGGAAGUUCUACCAGACUCUCAGCAAACAAAAUGCUGUGUCCUAGACCCAGAUGCGGCUCCUGUUCCCUGUCAAUUUUACAAUUAGCAGGGGAGGGAAGAUGGAGACAAACCAUUAUAAAGCAGAUUAGCUUUUGAUCAGCGCUAUGAAAAUGCUCCUAAUAACCAAUACUAUAAGAGUUGAGGAACAAAAGAUCUCACUCCUUGCUGCAUUAAUUACAGAAGACAUCAUGGCUGAGGCAGACUCUUAGAGGCAAAUGCAAAUUUCCCAUAGGCAAAAAUGGUGGGAGAUUUCAGCCAAUAAGAAUAGCUUGAGUCAAGACACAGAUAUUUGGAAAGACAAAAUUCAGUUGGAAUGCCAACUAUGUGUCAUUAUCAAUAUCAGCCUCAUACGGUGCUAAAGACCAAGCUUCCCCUUCUGUAAAUCUACCCAGAAUCACAUAUUAGUCUGUGGCAGGACCAAGAUUCAAACCCUGGUCUACCUAUGCAAAAUCUGUGUGUUCCUACCAUCCUGUGCUGCCUCUUAUGUAAACAUAACACAGUGUAAAGCUAUCGGAAAAAUAAUUUUGGGCUCCCCCCAAGCCAGACCAGAUAAAACUCAAGUGCAAGUAAUUUAUUUUGCAGUUGAUUCCAGGAAACUUUAGUAAAGGAAUGGGGAAAAGAGACAGAGAAGGAAAGAGAACUGAUAAAGGGUUCUUUAUUAAGAGAGUUGCCACUAUAGCUAGAGCUCAGUCCAGCUGCGGAAUUCAGGGAUUCAGUGCACACAACCUGCUCCUCCUGGCUAUACCUCCCCAAGUGGGUGAGGGGCCUGGGGUAAUUAUGUAUUCCAGCUACUGACUGAAGGAUGCUGAGGGGGGUGUUAAUUCUCUAACACUUUAAGCAGCCUGCCAUAUGUGUGACAAAGUAAGCUCUGUGGCCCAGAGAAAAACCCCAGGCAAAAAAAAAUGCAAGCACUGUAAGUUGGACAGACAUAUUGAAGUGGUGAGAGGAGAUGGGUAGGGGAUCAACGAAAGCUCCAUGAAAGCAGGGACUGUAUCUGUUCUAUUUACCACUGUACAUCCACUGCCUGACACAUACAAGAUGCUUACUAAAUAGCUGUGGAAGAAAGGAAACGAGGGAAAGAGGGAAGAAAGGACAGAGGAUUAGCAGAGUCAGGGCAACCACAUUGCACAUCUCCAGGACACUAGAGAAGAGGCCAGAAGGAAGAGCAUAAAGGUCCUGAAAGAUUUUGUUCAGUGUGCAUGGAGGGCUUGUGAAAGUUUUGCAAGUUUGAAAGUCUGCAAGAACUUUGGAAAGUAGAGCAGAAAUAUGACAUGACCACAGCAGAGUUUUAGGGAAAUGAAUCUACUACUCUUCUGUUCAGCAAAUACUUACCAAUCUUUUGGAGUCAAGAAGUGUUUCAUUUUUAGUAAGGAUGGGGCAAAAAGUAGAAGAUCUACAUUGCUGCAGAACAUUUUUAAGUUAUCUCAAUUGUUCAUGGAGGAGAACAGCUGCCGAAUAUUGUCAGCUUUCUAUCUAUUUCUUAGAGCUGGUGUGAAGGUGUGAAGAGUAGCACUUACCAAGAGACUGGGUACUGUGAGGACAGAGACUGGCAGGGCCCUCUGAUGCAAAGAUCAAAGAGGAGGCAACAAGGAGCAAGUCCCAGGUGAUCUGAGGGUUGUCUCUGGCCUAACAGCUGGUACAUCUCAGAGUCACACUUUUUUCCCUCAAGUUGUAAAACUGGAAGAGGAGAAAACAGGAGGUGACACUUUAGGAAAUAUUGGGAAUAGAAUGAGUGUGAACUCCACAAGGGGAUGGAGUCUACAUGGGGAUAUUUAAUUUUGUUAUAUCACCUCCCUAAUAGGCAAUUCACUUAGAGCCCCCGGUGAACUGCAAGUCCCAAAUCCCUUCUCCACACUUCAAAAAUCCCAAAACUCUAAGCACUGAUUUACUUUUAUAAAUUUGCACAAAUUCAUUUGACAUCAAAACUUGACCUUGCUGUGAAUUCAUUCAUAGUCUUCCUUUUCUUCUCCCACUUUGGGUGAGUACUCAUUUUCCUCUAGAAAAUUUUGCGGCUCUGAAUUCCAAAACACAUGUGGCCCCCAAGGGUAUCAAACAAGGGAUUGUGAACCUGUAAUUAAACAUGAAGUAUUUGGCUUUUUUGCCUGUAAAUAGGCAAAAAAGUUUUUUUGAUGUUGAAAGGCAAGUCAUGGAGCAUCUGUUUUACUGAUGUUGAUUAUACCAAAUGUGGCAUACUCCUGGCACUUGGCAGCAGUAGGGACAUCUCCUGACCAGGGAGGCUCCUCAAUGGCUGCAGUGAUGACAAUGAUGAUAUGGUUUGGGAGCCAGCAUUUUCCCGAUCUUAAGAAAGGUAGACAACUUCUUGGAGGCCUAGUCUUGGGGUAGAGUUUUGGGAGUCACUAUUGGAAGUACAACCUGAAAUUUAUUCUCAAGCCUCCAUUUUACACCCUGUAAUAAAUAAUUUCUUGCUCGAACUAGCUAGAAUAGAGUCUGACUUGUGCAACUGAGCCUGAAAUGGUAUCCCAGCCACACAGCAACACCGAUCCAACCGUGCUAUCAUUCCAAUUUUUUUUUUAACUCAAACUAUUGUCAGUUGCAUAACUGCCAGACUUGGUAGCCAUAAAGUAAAAUAACAAAAUAAAUGUAAAAAUAAGCCGGGUGGCAUGCGCCUGUAGUCUCAAGUGCCUGUAGUCAGGAGCUGAGUUGGGAGGAUUGCUCAAGCCCAGGAGUUUGAGGCUGCAGUGUGCUGUGAUAGUGCCUAUGAAUAGCCACUGUACUCCAGCCUGCAGAACAUAGAGAGACCCUGUCUCAAAAAAAAAAAAAAAAAAAGUCUGCUCACAAAACAAAUAUUUCCUACUACCAAGGCUGAGACUGCCCAGUAGAAGUUGAUGCAGACAAAGAUCUUCCAGCAAUUGUUGAAACCAUUACAUUGCCUCCAAAAGUGAUCCUGUUAAAACAGAACUAUUCAUUUGGAUGUAGGCUUUCUGUCACUGUGUUAGUUAGUCAAUAUAAAUCUAUUUGGUAAUCAUUGGAGAGAAUGGAAGUAAUACAGAGAAAGAUAAUACAGAGUAUUUAUUUCCAAGGAGUUUCUUCUCUCCUGGGCUUCUGGUCAGACACCCAACCAAGCAUUAUGCCCACUCUAAGUGCUGUAAUGGGUAUGCACAAAGUGCAAUUACUUAGCCAUUUCCUCCACUCACAUCCAGGCAUUUCACAGCUUGCACAGCCUGAAUCCACAGCCUCACUCCUACAGACAGAUGCUUAAUGUAAACACUUAAUAUCCAUGUGUCUGUAACAGUAAUAACGUCAUCAGAACCCUAAAGGCAAAAAGGCUUUAAGAAGUAGCUAGGUAGAGAGUAAUAGAUUUAUACCAUGAAAAUGUGUUUAAUCAGGAGUCUGAGUACAUGAAAAUAACAUCAAAUCAACCCUAUCUCUAAAAAUGAGAGAAAAAUUAAAUAAGUAAGAUGGAUACUUGAAAUAUUAGUGUUUAUUAGCAGAGUUUUUAGUGUGUAAACAUACCCACCCUAAUUUUGUCUUGAGAAUUGGAUUCUGAAAAAACUGUGAUCAGCACAAAGGCAUGUUGAUACCCUGGCACCAUGAAAGCAUUGAAAGGGAGAAAAAUGACUGGAUUGGCAAAAGUCUUGACAAGAGAGGCCAACAGAAACCAAAAGCCUUCACGACUGUAACUCAAUUUGUUUUCUGAGCUCAGAAGAGAAUGACACUGUGCUAGAUGGAUUUCAGUUGUCCUUCCAGAUCUGCUCUCCACUUCUCCACACUGGCCAGCACCCUUCAUGUGCUGCUCACAAAGCCGAGAGCCACAGAGGAGCACACGGGGUGAGCUGUGAUGAAUGAUUUUCAUUUACCUUUCCAGAUCCUCUGUCCACCCUGCUGUGCCGAUAGGCAUUUACGGACCAUAGCGACAAGCUCCUUUGUCCCCUGGCUUCUGGUUAGAGAGCCAAUGAGAUGCACGGGCAAAGACUGCAUGGAGAGGGAAAAGUGAGGUUGGGGCAUUGCCUGCCCUCCCUGCAGGGCUGUGAGUCUCAGAGUCCAUGUUCCACGAUCUAAGGCCAAGCGCCCGUCAAGCAGGCAGCUCUCUUUCAUAGCUUCCAGGUCCAAUGACCUUCCCUCUAAGGGUGGUAAUAGCACUCCAUGCUUAACAAUCACUAUUCCUUUUAACCCAGUACAUCUUUGCAAAUUAGCCCUUUUUGAAACUCUUCAGUUUCCCUCAUUUGACUGCAUCACUUUUUUCUCAUGGAAACCCUCACUUGGGGAUUAUUGUUUAGGGAGAGUUUCCCCAGUAUUUUUACAGAGCUAACAGGAAGUUAAUUUGCCUGCCCUUUGUACAGCUCAGUUAGAUCAGCUUUUGUCUGGAAAGGAGCCUUGCAGGGCUUGGCUUUGUAUCCUGUUGGGAUGAUCAUCUCUCCAGUGUGAUGACUAAGGGUUGUGUCCAGUUAGUGCACUAGCAACUGAAGUUAGGAAGGCUCGGGUGGACGCUGCCAACCAGCAAUCCAAUCUGCCUGAUGGCCAACCCUUUGACUGCUGGGAGCCUGGAGCUUUCUGAAUCAGACAACUUCCAGACUUCACAUGUGCUGCCAAGCACAAGGUAUGAAAAAGGUUUCUUUUCUUUAGAUUCUGCUUUUUCACUAAAGCUGCAUCUUUAUCCAAUUAAUUAGAGAAAUGUUACUCAAAGCAUAGUCUGGGGACCACUGCUGGUAUGCACACUGGUGGAGCUUGCACCAGAAUAAGUUCACUACGUUCCACUGACAGGCUUUUUUUCUUUUUUUUUUUUCUCGGUAGCAAGACUUUUUGAUGACUUGUUGAUUUACAAUUUCAUAAGCUUUUUUUCUCAUCACAGAUGAGGAACAAAUAUUUACCAACCUGGUAUUUGGGUACUUGCAGUAGCACUGAAUUAGAGGACUGUGAAAUCAGACCUAGGCAAUAAACUAGGUCAGCAUUUCCCAUGUUGUGCUCCAUGGAAUCCUAAUCUUGUGACAGCUUGUCUAUUAAGAGGAGGAAAUGCUUAGAGAGUCACAAAGGACAUGACCAUGUUAAUGGCUCUGAUAAGUCCUGCAGUUAACGAAUGUGCUUAUUUUUGUUCAGCACAGAAUUUCCCAUACUUGUUUAAAAUGAUUAUGUUAUGUCAUGGCUAUUGCCACUUGUGAAAUGAGUGUUCUGUGGAACUAACACUGUUGGCAAGGAAAUGCUUCAGGAAGUGCUCAGCCAGAGGAUCUCUAGAGUCUCUUGGGAAGAUAUUUAUCUUCUCAGGGCCCCUGUUUCCUUAACUAUCAAUUAAUGUCUAACAUCUGACUAGUGGUUGGCAUUUUCAUAUGCAUGUCCUCAAUGAGACUCGGGUUAUCCUGUGAGAAAUCGUGCAGGAAUGGUACAUCCCAGUCCACACAGGAGUAAUUGAAGGGUCAGACAGAUUAUGUGACUUACUCAAAGUCACACAACUUGUAAAAGGUGAAACUAGAAUUUGACACUCAGGUCUUCAAAUUUUAAAAUCUAUUAUUUCCUACUAUACUGCAUUGAAUCUUUGAGCUGGAAGGACUCUUAGUGGAUAAUAUGUCUAAUCAGGUAAGUAAUACUUUAGCAAAGGAGGGAUUCAAUGUGAAUUCAGUGCUGGUCAUUUAACUUUUAGCUGAAGUUCAAACCUGUUUCUUUACAUCAUUUUGACAUCUUCCUCUUGUUAUGGUCAAAGACAGCUUUCCAAUGUCCUAUGCACUCACCAUCUCAGGGAAUGGGUCACAUUGUCAUAUUCGUCUUCUGAAGUGAGUAGAAGACGGCCUUCCACAAACGUUGGACCUCUGGGUUUGUUCACAGAGCAAGGCAAUGACACUGGGGAGAUAGGAGGGCACUCUAUAUUUAUAUUCUGUAUUCCUGAGUCAAGAAAAAGGAGCGUGAGAUUUAACAGCACUUGGCUAAAACAAUUAAGUCACAGCCUAUCUUCUUGUGGUCAACUAAAAGAAAAGAAAAGAAAGUGAGAUUAUUUUUGUAUUUUUAAAAACAAAGGCUAAGAAAUAAUCUGCUCACAAUGUUCUCCAUUCUGUAUGUGUGUGUUUCUAACUAGUUUUUAAAAUUCGAAUGAUUCAUUAAUUCAUUUGUUCAUUCAUUCAGUAGGCUUUUCUUGAGUACUUACUCUGGGCCAGGCAAUGUGCUAGGGGUUGAGGAAACAGAAUGAAUAAAAUUAAUUUGUCACCCAAGUCAAACAUGAAUCAUCAUUACCAUCACAAACAAAUACUGAGCAUCUUCUAUAAAAGGGGCCAGUACUGGGCACUUCCGGGAUCUAUAAUAAGACAUACCAAGGCAGGGUCCUUGUCCUCCAAGAGUUCAGUCUCCUUGAGGAAAUAGCUAUGCCCAUAAAAGGCUAAGCAUCAUUGUGCAAUGCUGAGUGCCAGCCCAGUAGCAUGAAGAACAAGAGUAACCAGCAUUCCAGGGAUAAGAAGUCACUCUUGGUCCAGGCAGGUGGGAGCUGUCAGAGUGGCAUAAUUGUGGUCAAAGCUAAUAAUAACUCUAUUAUAAACCACAGCAUUGCAAGGAAGCAGGAAUAAUUUUUCUGAGAGAAUGAAAUCUUUUUGGUUUAAAUUGAUCUCACGGAAAUAAAUCUGGCACUUAAAAGAGUUUUGGGUUUCAUUUAUGUCAUGAGGGUCCAUUUGCGGGUGACUAGUUCCCGAAAUAAAGAACUCGUCUCUCUAGGCUGGAGUAAUUUUGAAUCUGAGAGAUGAAAGUUCAUUAUUCUUUUGGAAGUUAGUCAACAUUAAUUGUGUUUGGCACUUUUUAGGUAAGGAAAAUUAUCCUACACUGGAUGGUUACAAUUACAUUGUUAUGUCUGAGAGGAUUUUCUCAUGUAAUUACUAUGUGCCGGCUCUCUAAUUACAAGGAGGGCCUGAAUUUUCUUCCUGUCACUGCAAAUGAUGUCUCUACUAUAUUGAAAAAAUAGCGGACUUUCUUUUCCUCAAAUAAGGUAUCAAAACUGGUAAGCCAUGAAGAACUUAAAAAUACCGUUGACGAUAUAGAUAUUUCUACAGCUUUAUUUUAAAAGUUUAGGUAUCAUAUCCUAUUGGAUUUAGAGAAAUUUUGAUAAUUUGAUUAAAAUCUUAUGUUUAUGUUGUUACAUUCUAAGUAGAAAAUCAGAUCCAUGCUUAGUGUGGGUUUUAAAUUUUAUUUAUUCUAAAUUCUUAGAAAAAUGCACAGCUAAUAUAUGACUUACUUGACCUCAACUUCAAUGAGCAAAAGAAGCUUGCAAAUUUAAGGUAUUUAAUAAAAUGCCUCCCCCACCCACCUUGAAUUCUCAUAGAAAAUACCACAGGGUUUGACUACAAGCAAGAAACACUAGAGGUUUCUUCCUUCCCAAUAAGGACAGUUAUUAAAAAGCUGGGUGAAAUAAUUUUCUUACAUUAUUUCUCUUAAAAAAUCCAAGAGUUAAUAAGAUAGUGAAGAUUUAAUCUACAACAGUACAGAAGACAAAAUCCCGGGAAAGUAAGUUGAGCACACAAAGCUGCUUUGACCUCAAUAGCAUUUUCCAAACCUGAAGAAACAUGCAAAACUGAGGUGCUGUCUCGGUGGCCUCACAAAGCAAGUAGGAAAAAAGUGAAAACCUAGGCCCACCCAUAGUGGGGAGCCCAUUCUCUCCAUAGAUAUUAAACUGAGAUCCAAGGUUUAUGCCCUCAGGGAAAUAGAAAGCCUAAAGGAAAACAACUUUUGCUUGGAUUUGCAGCCCAGGUUUGCAUCAACUGGAUGGUCCAAGGAGCCUCAAGCCUUGAACUUAGACUAAGCAGAUCCCUUACUGGUAAAGCUCCGGGAGCAAAUAAGAAUGGUCUCCAGAGAAAAAUUCUGUCAUCUCAGAGUUUAAUCACUCUCAAAUUAUUUUUCAAAUACAACAACCAGUCUACAGUCAAAUAUGACUUGUUGCAUAAACAUGACAACAUAAAUGAGAACUAGCAGAAAAAAAUAGACAAUAGAACCAGACCAUAAAGACCUAAAAUGUUAAAAUUAUAAGAUACAGACUACAAAAUGUUUAUUAUGUUUAAAGAAAUAAACAUGUUUCCAAGGAAUAAGAAACUACAAAAAGUCCAACAGCACCACCCAACUUUUGUAAAAACAAACAAACAAAAUGCCUUUAAACACUUCCAAAUACAUUUCAACAGAAAAAGUGAGGCCAGUGAUUGCCAUGGAGAGCUCCAUGGCCAAAGUCACAUACAUUUCCUGGGGUGACCAGUAUCCAACAACUGAUCAAUACUGGUUAUGAAGUCCUGGCCAAUUCCUGGUCACCACAGCUGCAUAAGUUAUCCCAUCCUCAAACUCCCUGUGAGUCGCCCGACACUUCUGUUGAGUCUUAUUGGAUGAUAAGCUGUGGUUGUUGCUUGGGCACUUUAGCUCCUCAUGGCAAGGGACAGGUAGGUAUGGAGAAGAAUCACCAUCUUGGCAGAAGUAAUUGACUCCUGAUGUUAGGCAAUAAGGGCACAGAGGAAUAUAGUUAGCAACCAGUUGAUUCCCCUGGGUGCCUCCUGGUAUUCCUUUCCUUAAUUGUGACAGUGAAUGGUCAAAUGCAGCAACCUGGCCUGUGAAAGGCAUGGUGAUCAGGGGCUCAGACCCUUCCAAGUCUGACUCACAGGACCACAUAAGCCAGUGAGUCCACAGAAAUGUUAGAGAAAUCCAGAAUGGAGAGAAAAGGAGGGACCUGAUGAGUGUUUGUUUUGGCCUUGAGAUCAUCGGCAGCUGUAGUUCAUCCCACUAACCUUAUUCUCCUAAAUUUCCCUCUGGAAGAGAGGCCCACUAAAAUCCUGGAGGCAUUGCUCCCAGAACCUGUUUGAAGCACUGGGUCCAAGUAGUGCAAUGUGUGGAUUAUGAUGGAUGUGGUUAUGGUCAGCCUAGAUCACCCUUUAGGAUUUGAGGCACUUCCAAACUGAUGAGAUGACCCUGAGCCACCUAGCUUAAGGACUCACUUCCUUCCUGGGUGGCUCAUAUCCAGGGACUAAUCAACAUGGGGACAUAAUAUCCCCUUUCUCUCCUCUUCUCCAUGGGGGGCACCACUGAAGGUGAUUUCACCUUCAGAACUCCCUGCAGGGUUGACUGUGUCUUCCAUUGAGAUAUCCAUCAUCACAGUUCAACUGUGCCCAGUCCUACUUUCUUCUCUUCUCUUACACAUGUUCAAUCUGCAAAGCACUCCUGCGUAAACCUCCUGUGUUCAAGUCUGUUAUUCAGGAGACCCAGCCUGUGACACUCGGAUCUUCACUGAGUUGAGCUUCUGUACCUUACUGGGGUCCAGAUAUUUCUUCUUCAGACAUUCUCUAAUUUUAAGAACCUCAUCUAAGGGACAGGAAGUCUUUGUUCUUUCUGACAAUCUGGACAAGCUUUCAGGACAUUUCCUAGAAAUCACGCUGCAAGGAGUGGCAGGACUCCUGAUAUUUGAUAUAUGCCCUACCAAACUCAUCCCAGCUCUUCCCAUAUUUGACAAUGACUUCAGAGAAACCAACAAAGUCUAGAUUCUUAGGAGGGGGAAGCUAGUGCCCAUCCCUCUUCACAGCUGAAAACACUCAAUUGAUUCAAAGUAUUUGCAUUUUAACUUUAAGAGCCCAGGCCAUUUAUCUUAAUGAUAGUGGGCCACUGUAGUGCCAGCAGUAUCUACAACAAGGUGGAAAUUGUAGGAAUAGCACUAAAAUAGGGACGUGGGGGACAAGCUGCUGGCUAUCCCAUGGAGAGUUUCAGAUGCGGUGCCCCUAGAGAAGGCCACUGUAUGACCAAGUUGCUUUAGUUAAAAUCACUAAGUGACUAAGGGUCACUUACUAUGAGUGUCGGUAGAGACAAAGUUUUAUUCCUUCACCACAGCAAUGCCCCAUUCCCCAAACCACUGAAAAUAGACUCUGAUUAAAUUAGCCUAUAUUUGAGGACACUCACAUUGGUAUCAUUUUGAGUUUAACGUAAUCAAGCAGAAACCUCAGCUGUGGGAACCAUUUUAAUGCAGAGCCCAUUUGUAUUUGUCCCCUCCAGAUCAAUCUAAAUGCAAUUUCUUCGCAUUAGGUUCUUUGCUGGUUUGCAAGUAAGCUUUUUGAUUUUUUUAUUUUAACAAAUACUAAAUGUAGAAACAUCUAUUUUUAACAAGAAAAAUAGACACUCUUAAAAACAGAGCAUGCUAUUUUUUGGUUUUGGGAGUGGAGGUAGAAGAGCAGUUGGGGAAGUUUAACCGAACAUGGCCUAUUUUACUGGUUCCAGUAUAACAUAAGUGUUUUCAGUUAUGAGCUACCUUGAUGGAUUUAUUUACCUUUAGAUGUUUUUAUUGGCUUGGGGAGCCACGGGGUUAAAGGAAAAGAGGGAACAAGGAAGUUAAAGCCUUUGAAAGAAGACAACCAGUGGUGUCAUCCAAGCAUCCCAGCAUUAAAACUAAAUAGGAUUCUGUAAAGUUUCCCUAUAAAUUGGUUACUUGGAACCCAGAGCCCUGGAGAAAGAGACUUGCCCAGGCUGCCAGUCAAAGAAAGACAUAUGCAUAUGGAUUCCCUGAAAUUAAUGCGAGGGGGAAAGUCUACUAGGAUUGUAAAUGAUCUAAGUGCUUAAUGCACUUUCUUGGCAGAUCCGAAGCAAAAUUGUUUCCUCAAAUUCAGGCCUCAGAGGCUGUGAGCCAAGCAGUUGUCAGUGGGUCUUGUAGUUAGUAGAUACUUCUUCCUCUCCCCACACCAACGCUUAUUGGGCCGUCCUUUCCCAGCUCUAAAGCUGAGAACCCUGCCCUUUUGUGCUCCUCUGGCCUAGGCCUGCUGGCAGCAGCAGCUCCACACUUCUGCCUGGAGGGCAAGAAAAGGAGGGGCUUGAGGGUGAGGGGACUCACAGAGUUGGAGGGGCAUGCCACUUUGCCCAUUUGCUUAUUUCAUCAGUGAUUGAUUUUUCUUUCAUGAGAGAAGGAAAAACGAGAGGAGAGAGUGAAGGUAAAAAGGAAGUUCUGCAGCCCUGGAAGAAUGUCUGAGGGACAUUCUGAUUCAGGAGUUUAUAGCUUGGGCAGGGUUGGCACUGAUACUCACAUGAUGCAUAAGAACCAGGCUGAUGAGUUGAAAAUUAGCUUCUGUUUUGAUUUUGUCCCAGAAUACAAAAACAUUCACUUUCCUUGAUAGAAAGCAGAGUUGAGAAGACUUUCUAUCUGGCAAUAUUUAUAAACUUUAUGGGAUCCUUACAUAAUGAGAUGAAACGAAGUUUUAUUAUCUUAAUGGCUGUUGCUUAGAAAUGUUUUGGGACCCCGAGGGCUUGAGUGUUUCUUGGCCACAAAACUUCAAAGUAUAAUGUGAAACUGGCUUGCACUGGAUAUGAGAGAAAUUCACAUUUUGCUCUGAGGAUAAAGGGAGAAGAUAGACAAGAAGAGAAGAAAUGCAAGGAGGAGGAAGACAGAGCAUGGAGCCAAGUGGACAGAGGAGAGGACCAGGUGCGGGUACUGGCAGGUGAAGCAUGCAGUCAUGGGGGCGGCUGAGGCUGUGCGAGAGGCAUGGUAAGGCUGCUCUUCCACAUGAAGUUCCUGGCCUUGCUGUGUCAUGAGACUCCAUUUCUGCUCCAGAAUCACCCAUAAAGACUCCUCUGUUCAUAUUUUCUUUUCCGUGGAACUCAGAAAGGGGGCAGGUGUUCUGUGGUAUGGUCCUCAUGGUAUAGCACAUAGUUGAGACAAGCUUAGGAGGAGGACCUCAUGAGAAAGUGAGGACUCGUGGGACUCAUGGGCUCCUGCCAGUGGUGGAUUUGGGAGAGCAGGAUUGAGUUAAUUUGAUCCAGAUCUCCAAGGGCCAGGGACUCAGUACACAACUUUUGAGUAAUAAAGAUGAUGGAAAGUAAGAUAUUAUUUGGUAAAAUCUGCAUGACGUCCCAAACAGUAGGAUCCAGAAUACAUGGGAACACUCUUUCUCUUCCAAUGCAUUUAGAUUUGCAGUCUCAUCAGUGCUGGGCCCUGCCUGGCACAGAGUAGAAGGUCAUUGACCCUGCUCUCAAGUGAGGGUGGGUAUGUAAAUAAAUGAAUACAGGAAAAUGAGUACGCUGAUACAGCAAUGAGGAAAAAUGCAGCAUUCGUUGAAGGCAAGUCAUGCCUUAUCAGGUAUAAAAACACUACAGUGGUCCUCAGCCUUGAUGGGUCAACCCUUCUUAGUGUGAAUUUUGUUAACGGCCUGUGUCUGAAGUACCUUUCUAGGCACUGCAACUUUCUGAGUGUUUCCCUUCAGGACUCUAUGUUAAAACAAACAAACCCAAACAAAAAAACACUUCUGUAUUUCCAUGGAAGUGAUUUUUAAGAAAAACAAAUAAUAAAAAUGCAUGACUUUUGGGUUGCCAUAUCAGGGCAAAAAUAAAGGAAAUAGUGCCUAGAAAGGGAUUGUGAAGGCAGUGGCACCCUCUGCAAAUGGCACCUGUUGCUACAGGUGCAGGAUUUCUGGGAGAAGAAGAGGAUUUCUUCCUGACAGGCAGGUCCACAGUGCAGCGCAGGCCAUGCUGAUACAACCUGGAGCAUCUCACCAUUAAGGGAAAUUCCACAUUAGGGAACAUGGACAUUUAGAGAUUUUUUUUUCUAUUCUUCUGACAUUUAUACCUUGCAUACUUUUGCUUUAGAAGAUAUAAUUGACAUAAUUUUUAAAAUGGCUUGCUGUGUGCUAUGAUGACAAGACAGGAUUUAGAGUCAAAAUUCCUGGAUUUUUAUCCCGACCUCUUAACAAACCAGUUGCCAGAACUCAUACAAGCCACUGCUUUGUGAGGCCUCAAUUUCCUCAUUUAUAAAACAGGCUGCUAAUAACAUCUGACAUUUUCACAAAAGCCUUUCUCUGGCUUAAUGCUAAGUGUCAUGCAAUUGACAGUCUUUAAAUCACACCUCCUAGACCUUGGGAAAGCAGUUUGUUAGUUUAUUAUUUAUGUAAUCCUCUCUGUCUUUCUGAACACUUUCUAUGCUUCAGGCACCAUACCCAGUGUUUGAAUUGAUUGUCUUCUUUCUUUUCACCACCACUCUACGAAUUUGGCACUAUCACGACCCCAUUUUUACAACCAGGGACACGGGCUGAGAGGUCAAACAGUUGGCCGUGAUCACCCAGCUGAGAUCCUGGCCUGACCCAGAGCCCACACCUCAGAGCCCCCUCCAGGAAGCAGCCAGCUAGUUCUGUAUCUGUCUUGAGUUUCUGUCUAAAGCUCUCCUUACCCCUCCUCCUUCUGCCUGGAAUGAAGACAGAAGUUGCCCAGCGCCAUUCAACCACCUGCAUUUACUGUAACUAUGUCACCAGCAUCUCUACUUUCUGAAACCUCUGAGUGGUAUCAUCUUGGGCCCUCAGUGCAUAGAUUUGCUAGAGAACCCCCAGCAUCCUUCAGUGUUUGGAGAGUUCCGUGUGAUGAAUGGUACCAUUGGUCUUUGUGUGCUUGGCGCUGGAGCCCCUGAUGUUGAUUAGACCAGGACUGAUGAGCUGCUUGGCUCCUGCCCAGCUGGCAGGCCCCAGCCCCCACUUCUCACACCUAAUUGAAGCAACACAGCCCAGGCUCUCCAAGACCACUCGCUGCCAAAUGAUGAAAAAUCCUCUGACCUCCCUCCUGAUUGUUUUCAAAUUAAAAGGUACUUUGGGGACAACUGAAAUUCCCCCAAGUGCUUGUCUGAGCAAUUUUGGCAGCUUCUCCCAAAGUGCUCUGGCUCCCAGCACAACCACCCAGCCUCAGACUCUCCACCUAGCGCAGGGCCCAGGUCCUGUCUGUUUUCUGAGCUCAGACCUUGAGCACAGUGCCAGCUCCUUGCCUGCUGGGGGCUUCUUCCUGCCCCAGGGGAACUGAUACCUUUGCCUCACAUUGAUACGUGGAAAGAAGAGCAAGGGGAAGGGCCCUGGAAUCUGCUCUGGGCUUCCGGGGGAGCAGCUUCUAGUACCGCAGCUGAGGAGCACAACCAUCAGCACUGGGCAUGGGAUGCUUGGGGGCCUUUGCUUAGUUCUAUCUGUCAGGGAGGACCCUCACUGAUUGAGGGAUGCACAGAAUCAUUAGUUUUCCUCCCCACCUACAAGGAUAAGAUCCACAGAGAGUUAGAGCUGAAAGGGGCACAGAGGAGCUUGCUUUUCUCAUUCAACCUUAUGUUUUGAGAUUUAUAUCUGUAGACACAUGCAUCUCUUUAUCAAUUGUAACUACUGUAGAUGUGUCCAUUGUGACUAUGCUGCCAUUUAUUUAUUUAUUUUUCUGUUGAUGUACAUUUAUUUUCAAUUUUUUACAAUUAAGAAUAUACCACAAAUGAACUUUCUCAUAAAUGUGUCUUUAUAUGUGUAUGGGAGUCUUUGAGGGGUAGAUAAAUAGAAUGAAAUUUCUGGGUCUAAGAGUAGGCACAUCUUUAUCUUUCUGUGUUGUCAAAUUCUUCUCCAAAUUGAUUGCACCAAUUUGGAUCACCUCCCACAUUGUGUAAGAGUUAUCAUUUCACACUCAUUAGAUUGACAAAAGUGAAAAAGUCUAACAUCCCCUAGUAUUGGAAAUAUCGUGGGGAAAUGGGAGCUCAUGGCUGUUUUAAUUUGCAUUUUCCAACUCUUAGUUGAUUUCACAUUCUGGUUUCUGUGUGCACGUGUGUGUGUGUGUGUGUGUGUGUUGCUGGUUUAUAUCCAUUGCCCAUUUUUCUAUUGAAUAUUUUGACUUUUUAUCCUACUGAUUUGUAGAAAUUGUUUUUAUGUGUUGGAUACUUUUCCUUUGAUGAUUACAUGAAGAUCAGUUAUCUUCCCCCAGUCAGUGGCUGGUUUUUCACUCAGAUUACAUUAAAUUUUAAAACUUACAACAACAAAAACACUAUAAGUAAUCUUUUGCUUUGCAGGUGCUGCUUUUGUGACUUAUGGAAAAAAUCCCUCUCUACUUUGAGAUCAUAUUCUUCUUUUUUUAUAUACAAUUGUAAUCUGAUCCGGGCUGAAAAACGAAGUAUAGCAGUUUAAAUAGCAGGAAGUAGUCAACAACUCAUUAUAAAAGCAACAGAAAACACGGAAAUGUGCAUCAGAAAGUCCCACCGGUUUCUCCCAAGUGUUUGACCUUGAGAAGAUCACUGAACUUCUCUGUAAAGCAGGCAAUAUGUGUCCCUGUGUUUCUCACCAGUUGGUUGGGAAGCCCUGAACACAUAUCAAGUAGGGUUGCUAUUCAUGUAGCCUGCCCUCAGCUGCUAUUGUAGUCUUGUCCUCUGGGAUUUUCUGGACUUGUAAAACCUCAAGCUGCAGUUAAAACACCAUCCUCCACAUCCUAGGCCAGAAUGCCUGGGCUCACCUGGGUGACUCAGCUGAGACAUGGCAAAAAAACACUCAAAACUUUGAAUCUGAGCCGGCUUCUUUCAUUCAAGUAAGGGCCAGUUUACAGAGCCCCUCCAAGGGAGAUGGUGCUUGGAGUAGGGAGGUAGGAAAAGGUUGAUAUAGUUUGGUUCUGUGCCUCCACCCAAAUCUCAUCUCCUGUUAGGGAGGGGCCUGGUGGGAGGUGAUUGGAUCAUGCGGGCAGUUUCCCCCAUGCUGUUCUCAUGAUAGUGAGUGAGUUCUCACAAGAUCUGAUGGUUUUAAAGUGUGGCACUUCCCACCUUGCUCUUUCUCUCUAUGGCCACCAUGUAAGACGUGCCUUGCUUCCCGUCACCAUUUUAAGUUUCCUGAGGCCUCCCCAGCCAUGCAGAACUAUGAAUCAAUUAAACCUCUUUCAUUUGUAACUUACCCAGUCUCAGGUAGCUCUCUGUAGCAGUGUGAAAAUGGACUAAUACAGGGGUCCACAAUGAAGUCCUGGAUUCCUCAGAGGGAGGAGUGGGGAGAAAUGAAAUAUUAGUCCGCACUGUCUCCCUCAGCCAGAUUCCUGUAGGUUUUCUGGAGUAACUGAUCAGGACUAAGUCUAGGAAAACUGGAAAAAGAAGAGAUGAAAUUUGUUUUGAACUGAACUUCAGUUUUGCUAUUCUGCAACUCUUAGUUCCUUUUUUGAUGCUCUUUCUCUUUCUCCCACGUCACGCUCAUAGUACUCCCACCCCCACCACCAAUCUCCUAUUCUGCCUACCAAAACUUGCACUUGGAACAGCAUCUGGCCUAGAAGGCCUCAAUAAAUGUGGCUAUUAUUAGC
rnacentral:lncRNA from 1 species